rnacentral:rRNA from 1 species
CACUGACCCACCCCGUAGCUACAAACUAACUACACAAAACAACCGAUCGGACUGCGCGGUAAAAAAAAACCACCCACCCUGAGCCUAUCCUCUCGCCCAUCGUGCUCCUCCAUCCAAUCCCCGCAACUUCCCCCACCCAGUCCGCCGCCGCACCACCUGCCUCCUCACCCGGCCGCCGCACCACCUGCCUUCCCACCCCGCCGCCAGCCCGGGCUCGCGCCGGCCCGCCGCCUCUCACCUCCAACCGCACCUCCUUGCCAGCCGUCGUGCCCUCCCAGGCGCCCUGUCCUCCUUCCUCUCGGCGCCGAAGUGCCCUCCUUCCUCCCCAUGUCGGAGCGCCCCUGCCUCCUUCUUCCCGUGGCGCGCCGCCCCUCUAUCCCGCGAGCCGCCACCCACCCCACCCCUCCCGGUACUGCCUCCUAACGCCGGCGAGCACAAGUCCUGUGCCUUCCCUCCCCUAACUUGCCUCCCCUAACCUCCCUCCCCCACCGUUUCUCGGAUCUGCCUGUGCCAUGGCUGGAUCUACCUUCGACGUUUUUGGUGGAUCGCAGCUCGUCGAGGAAGACGCUGGUGGCGCGGAUCCUUGGUGGCUUGGGGAGGCUUGCAACACAGGGAUCCCGCGCGACAGGGUCGUCUUGUGCAACAUCCAUCCAGCAGGAGUCAGCAGUUCCAUGGUGGUCACGCUGUCUCCAAGGGGCGUCUUUUCCGACCCCGGCUGAGAUCAACAGCCACUGCGCUGCUGUUCGCUUGCCCGGCCUCUCUCUGGCUCUCCACCGUCAACGGGUGGGCGACAAAAAAAUUGCAGCCGCGCAUGCUGUAUCUGACGGCCAUCGAUGGUCACAUGUGGGACGAGCCCAACCGUGCAGUAUGCUGGAGCAGGUUGUGCAGUACUUUUUGAAAUUUUCAGUAGUUUAUUUGUUGUAGAUGUGCGGUUCACUUCUUCAGCCACCUCUCUCUUGCUGUUCACUUGUCAGGAUAGAGAAGGACGGUGGUGUGAACUACUUCGAUGGGAGCAGCAGGGGAGUCGCGGUGGUGUUUCUGCCUCUGGAUGUCACAGUUGUGUCGUUCGGCUGUGCCCCAUUACGGCUUGGUAUUUUCCCUUUCUUGUUGAUACAUGCUUCGGUGCAGUCGGCUUGAUCGAAGAUGAGGUUCGGCUGGUUUGUGUAUGCUGGUCAGGGUGUCUUGUGUGUACAUGCAGCUCAUGGCGUGAUGUUGGUUCAGUUCGUUGGCAAGCGGUUCUGUAUCGCGGGCGUGCAGCUCACCAUCGUCAGGCUCGCAGUUCGUUUGGUGCUGGCAGGGUCAACACAACUGGACCCAGGACAUACGACUUUGAUUUCUUUUUCAUUUUGUUUUGAGUCGGUUUUAUGUAAAUUUACAGGGCUGUGUUUGAAGUUGAAUUCUCAUUAGUAUGCGUGGGGGGUGUCUUUUCUCGUUCGUACGAUUUCUUGCGAUUUGGUUCCUUGCCUUAAUUCGGAGUUCGCACCUACUGCCUCCCCCUCGCGAGCCCCUCGGGAGCGGGGGCUGGGCGCGGCGCACGCGCGCUGCGCGCAUGUCCUGCCAUGACGGGCGCUUGCUUCUUGCGAGGCCGUCUCGGACGGAUCGGCAGGC